GUAACAAAAAAGAAAAAUCAAUCCAGUCCCUAAAAGUAGUAGGGGAUAGAAUGAUUUACUAAAUGUGGUAUACUAAUACAGUUUUACCAGAAUCACAAUUGUAACAUGUGAAUGAUAUCACGCAAACUUUGAUAUGUACAAGUUGAGCAGAAUUAGGGAUGGCAUCAUCUAAUACUCUAGCAAGACCAACAUCUUGAAAAAGGUGGUGCAAUAUCUUUGACAUGACUAGAGAAUUUUUAAUUGGUAUGCCUUAAAAAUGAACAUUAGAAAUGGGAAACGUAAAAUUGUGUACCUAAAAAUAUCACUUCAAAAUCCAGGCCCAAUCUCCACAACCUAAAUGGUAAUUAUCAUGAAGAGUGUGGUUGCAGUCUUUAUGCUAAAGAUUCUUCAUGGUUACCUUCAAGAAGCAAUCAAAGAAGUCUACUCUGCAGUUCCGGCGAUCUUGGGUUGAAACCCGCCGCCAUCUAAGAAUUGCAUGAUCAAUUUUUGAAAUGUAGGAACAGCGAGAUAUUUGAUCGGAACUUCACAUUCCCCACGUAGAUAGCCACGAAACCUUUCUUAGCAAGCCUUUGUUUCUCGCUUUUUGCGGCCUUUAGUCGCUUGUGUCGAUCCUCCUCGCAACGACGUAAGCCUAAAUGACAGAUCGCAGAGACAAAGAUUGAGAUUAAUCUUGAAUUGAGAGAGGAAAAUUGAUAAUAUUUGGGAAGAAAUCAAAUUGAUGAGAGAUGGCGGGUGGAAGAGAAGAAGUAAAGAUGAAUUUCAGAAGAUUUGAAGAUUGAAAAUCGGUUGGCUAGAAACUUGUGCUGGAGAACUCUGUAAACUGGAGGAGAAGGAGAUUCCCAUUGGUAUGGAUGUGUUAUUAUUUCAAAAAUCUAGCUUAUAUAUAAUUGAUAAAUUAUUAUUAUUAUUGAAU
rnacentral:lncRNA from 1 species